rnacentral:lncRNA from 1 species
AUGGAGGAGGAAGUUGUGCAUUCUGUUCCAUUUCCCAGGAGUCUGACAUUGUCCUGCAGGCCAGUGUUGAGCACUUCAGUCCCAGGAACAAGUGGCAUCUCCAGCACUGCAAACAUGUUCCAGGCUGUGGCCCUGCUCAGGAUGCAACUCCAGGCAAACACAGCAGAAAUAGAAAGGAAAAUGAGACCAAAAUGGAUCCAGGUCAGUGCUUGGUCAGUUGUUUGGUGCAUGUGGAAAAUUGAUUUCUGUGUACAUUAUUCUGUGAUGAAAGAAGAAGUCAGCUGCGUAGCACUGAAGUCUUUUCACUGUUUUGCCUCUUUCCAUCAGAUCAGUUUCUGA